rnacentral:rRNA from 1 species
GACGAACGCUGGCGGCGCGCCUAACACAUGCAAGUCGAACGAGCGAGAGAGAGCUUGCUUUCUCGAGCGAGUGGCGAACGGGUGAGUAACGCGUGAGGAACCUGCCUCAAAGAGGGGGACAACAGUUGGAAACGACUGCUAAUACCGCAUAAGCCCACGGCUCGGCAUCGAGCAGAGGGAAAAGGAGCAAUCCGCUUUGAGAUGGCCUCGCGUCCGAUUAGCUAGUUGGUGAGGUAACGGCCCACCAAGGCGACGAUCGGUAGCCGGACUGAGAGGUUGAACGGCCACAUUGGGACUGAGACACGGCCCAGACUCCUACGGGAGGCAGCAGUGGGGAAUAUUGCACAAUGGGGGAAACCCUGAUGCAGCGACGCCGCGUGGAGGAAGAAGGUCUUCGGAUUGUAAACUCCUGUUGUUGGGGAAGAUAAUGACGGUACCCAACAAGGAAGUGACGGCUAACUACGUGCCAGCAGCCGCGGUAAAACGUAGGUCACAAGCGUUGUCCGGAAUUACUGGGUGUAAAGGGAGCGCAGGCGGGAAGACAGUUGGAAGUGAAAUCUAUGGGCUCAACCCAUAAACUGCUUUCAAACUGUUUUUCUUGAGUAGUGCAGAGGUAGGCGGAAUUCCCGGUGUAGCGGUGGAAUGCGUAGAUAUCGGGAGGAACACCAGUGGCGAAGGCGGCCUACUGGGCACCAACUGACGCUGAGGCUCGAAAGUGUGGGUAGCAAACAGGAUUAGAUACCCUGGUAGUCCACACCGUAAACGAUGAUUACUAGGUGUUGGGGGAUUGACCCCCUCAGUGCCGCAGUUAACACAAUAAGUAAUCCACCUGGGGAGUACGACCGCAAGGUUGAAACUCAAAGGAAUUGACGGGGGCCCGCACAAGCAGUGGAGUAUGUGGUUUAAUUCGACGCAACGCGAAGAACCUUACCAAGUCUUGACAUCCCUUGACGAUGCUGGAAACAGUAUUUCUCUUCGGAGCAAGGAGACAGGUGGUGCAUGGUUGUCGUCAGCUCGUGUCGCGAGAUGUUGGGUUAAGUCCCGCAACGAGCGCAACCCUUAUGGUCAGUUACUACGCAAGAGGACUCUGGCCAGACUGCCGUUGACAAAACGGAGGAAGGUGGGGAUGACGUCAAAUCAUCAUGCCCUUUAUGACUUGGGCUACACACGUACUACAAUGGCGUUAAACAAAGAGAAGCAAGACCGCGAGGUGGAGCAAAACUCAGAAACAACGUCCCAGUUCGGACUGCAGGCUGCAACUCGCCUGCACGAAGUCGGAAUUGCUAGUAAUCGUGGAUCAGCAUGCCACGGUGAAUACGUUCCCGGGCCUU